ensembl:lncRNA
AAUAUUCAGAGGCACUCUGCAGCCCACAGGGUAAGACCCAAACUCCAACCUGAUGCGUGAGCCCUUGAUGCCAGGUGCCUGAGCACCUUUGCUGCCUGUGUCUACUGAGCCUCUGCCCCUGCACCCAGCCACCUUCACACACACACUCCUGCUGUGCAGCACCUGCCUCUGGAAUUGGCUCAGGGAAGUCCAAGCUCAAGGCACCCUUGCCGAAUGACUCGCUCUCACCUUCCUCAGACCAAAAUCUACCUGAGUCUGAGUUCUCCAGAGAAACUGAGAGAGAGAGAGAGAGAUAUUGAUUUCAGGGAGUUAUUUCACUCCCUCGUGGGGCUGGGAGAUCUGAAGUCUGAAGACCAGCAGGCUGGAAACUCAGGUAAGGUCGAUGUUGAGUCCAAAGGCAGUGGGAGGCAGAAUCUGCCUGUGGCUCACCGUGCCGCUCUUCCCUGUCUGCUGGGAAGGGAGGAGGCUGUCGUCACCUCCAUGGCCACCUUUUUUCCAUCUCAGCCUUGAGGACCAUUGUCUUAUCUCUACUUAUUUUACUGGGAGCUCAUCAGAAUUUUCAACAUCAGGACCUUAAAAUAGAAGUUCUUUCCCUUUCUCCCUGUGCCCCUCCUCCUCCUCCCUCCCACCAGUACCUGUUUCCAGCUCCCUGGAGGCUGCAACGCCCCUCUGCCCUGGCUUUGACCCUCAUUUCACUCACCUGGGCCUGACUGUCAAGAGGCUCUAGAUCUCUAGAUCUCUACUGGGCCAGAGAUCUGACCUCAGCACAGCCCCCUCACCAAUGCCAGUCCCGGGUUCUCCCACUUCCCACUCUCCCUGCCUUCCCUCCCUGAAUGCUGAAUUUUACUGGGACGUCAUAAAAAUGCAGAAAGCGACAAGGCCAAGAAGAAACUAUGUUAACACCUAGCAGAAUUUUGAGAUACCCCGCCUCUUGUUCCUUCUUGAGGCCAGACGAGGACCCGACGGUCUGAAUAAAGCAGAAGAAUGGAUGAGAAGAUUGUGACGGGCUUUUCUCCUCGGCGUCUUCCUGACAGCUCAUACCCCGAUUCUUGUUCUCAUUUUAUUCUCUCUUUCUUUCACUUUUCCAGCUCUGCCCCCGUCUUUGCCACUAAAUCUGCAGCGUCUAUUGCUGGCCAUGCUCUCCCCACUCCAGACACCUUUCGGCCUGCAUUGAGGAGAGAGGCACUGGCCCUGACUGGGGGCUUCCACGUGUGCAGGGGGCCGCCCGCGGUGAGGUCUCUGCAGCAUGACGGGGCUGGAAGCCGGCAGCUUUGUUGUGGUUUUCUAUACAUCUUGUGUUUGGCAGCAGCCAGGCCUUUUCCCCAGCAGUCAAGCCCACGGCCUCCCCACCUCCCACGGCUGCUGGUGCCCAAGUUUGGGAGCCUCUCCAGGUUCUUCAGAGAGCAGAGCUUGAUUUCCAACAGCCCCCGUUUCCCCAGGUGCUUGGACUUCAGCCUUCAGCUCCACGCACCAUCUUUCAGAACUACGUUGGCAACUUUACCUGAUUUUUUUUUUGUUUUUUUUUUUGUGUAUUUACAACAUUUUAUUCCUUUAGUUUUCAUUUUAGAGAGGAUUAGGAGAGAGAAGGAAUGA